GUUGCCCCCUUCACUUUACCAAUAAGACAUGUGUCUUCAUUGGUCAUUCAAGUGGGGUAGAGUAAAGUAUCCUUUUAUAAACCCAAGUAUACUGUAUUUUACUUGGUUUCUACCACAGGGGACAUUU